rnacentral:rRNA from 1 species
AUUGAACGCUGGCGGCAGGCCUAACACAUGCAAGUCGAGCGGAUGAAGGGAGCUUGCUCCUGGAUUCAGCGGCGGACGGGUGAGUAAUGCCUAGGAAUCUGCCUGGUAGUGGGGGAUAACGUCCGGAAACGGGCGCUAAUACCGCAUACGUCCUGAGGGAGAAAGUGGGGGAUCUUCGGACCUCACGCUAUCAGAUGAGCCUAGGUCGGAUUAGCUAGUUGGUGGGGUAAAGGCCUACCAAGGCGACGAUCCGUAACUGGUCUGAGAGGAUGAUCAGUCACACUGGAACUGAGACACGGUCCAGACUCCUACGGGAGGCAGCAGUGGGGAAUAUUGGACAAUGGGCGAAAGCCUGAUCCAGCCAUGCCGCGUGUGUGAAGAAGGUCUUCGGACUGUAAAGCACUUUAAGUUGGGAGGAAGGGCAGUAAGUUAAUACCCUGCUGUUUUGACGUUACCAACAGAAUAAGCACCGGCUAACUUCGUG